rnacentral:rRNA from 1 species
UACGUAGGGGGCAAGCGUUGUCCGGAUUUAUUGGGCGUAAAGAGCGUGUAGGCGGUCAGGUAGGUCCGUUGUGAAAACUCGAGGCUCAACCUCGAGACGCCGAUGGAAACCAUCUGACUAGAGUCCGGAAGAGGAGAGUGGAAUUCCUGGUGUAGCUGUGAAAUGCGCAGAUAUCAGGAAGAACACCCGUGGCUAAGGCGGCUCUCUAGUACGGUACUGACGCUGAGACGCGAAAGCGUGGGGAGCGAACAGG